GAAUCUUGCGCAAUGGGCGAAAGCCUGACGCAGCAACGCCGCGUGCGGGAAGAAGGCCUUCGGGUUGUAAACCGCUUUCAGCAGGAACGAAAAUGACGGUACCUGCAGAAGAAGGUGCGGCCAACUACGGGCCAGCAGCCGCGGUGACACGUAGGCACCAAGCGUUGUCCGGAUUUAUUGGGCGUAAAGAGCUCGUAGGCGGUUCAGUAAGUCGGGUGUGAAAACUCUGGGCUUAACCCAGAGCCGCCACCCGAUACUGCUGUGACUAGAGUCCGGUAGGGGAGUGGGGAAUUCCUAGUGUAGCGGUGAAAUGCGCAGAUAUUAGGAGGAACACCGGUGGCGAAGGCGCCACUCUGGGCCGGAACUGACGCUGAGGAGCGAAAGCGUGGGUAGCAAACAGG
rnacentral:rRNA from 1 species